GAUGAACGCUGGCGGCGUGCCUAAUACAUGCAAGUCGAGCGAAUGGAUUAAGAGCUUGCUCUUAUGAAGUUAGCGGCGGACGGGUGAGUAACACGUGGGUAACCUGCCCAUAAGACUGGGAUAACUCCGGGAAACCGGGGCUAAUACCGGAUAACAUUUUGAACCGCAUGGUUCGAAAUUGAAGGGCGGCUUCGGCUGUCACUUAUGGAUGGACCCGCGUCGCAUAGCUAGUUGGUGAGGUAACGGCUCACCAAGGCAACGAUGCGUAGCCGACCUGAGAGGGUGAUCGGCCACACUGGGACUGAGACACGGCCCAGACUCCUACGGGAGGCAGCAGUAGGGAAUCUUCCGCAAUGGACGAAAGUCUGACGGAGCAACGCCGCGUGAGUGAUGAAGGCUUUCGGGUCGUAAAACUCUGUUGUUAGGGAAGAACAAGUGCUAGUUGAAUAAGCUGGCACCUUGACGGUACCUAACCAGAAAGCCACGGCUAACUACGUGCCAGCCGCCGCCGUAA
rnacentral:rRNA from 1 species